rnacentral:snRNA from 1 species
AUACCUUUCUCGGCCUUUUGGCUAAGAUCAAGUGUAGUAUCUGUUCUUAUCAGUUUAAUAUCUGAUACGUGGGUCAUCGACUCACACGAUAUUAACUCAAUCUUUUAAGGGGGAAGGUCCAUCACGAUAGCUUGCUAUUGGGGCCUUCAAGUGUCGCCUUGGUGUUGCACUAUUGCCUUGGCUUGGCGCACCCCAC